GUUGAAUUCGCAGUCAUACGGUGAUUGGGCUGAAGGAGCUACUUUAGAGAUGCACAAGGAAUUUCUGAGACUGUAUGCUCAGAAAUCUUCAUGAAGAAAUGUUUUGUGG
rnacentral:lncRNA from 1 species